CUCUGGGUGGCGAGUGGCGGACGGGUGAGGAAUGCAUCGGAAUCUACUCUUUCGUGGGGGAUAACGUAGGGAAACUUACGCUAAUACCGCAUACGACCUACGGGUGAAAGCCGGGGACCUUCGGGCCUGGCGCGAAUGAAUGAGCCGAUGCCCGAUUAGCUAGUUGGCGGGGUAAGAGCCCACCAAGGCGACGAUCGGUAGCUGGUCUGAGAGGAUGAUCAGCCACACUGGAACUGAGACACGGUCCAGACUCCUACGGGAGGCAGCAGUGGGGAAUAUUGGACAAUGGGCGCAAGCCUGAUCCAGCCAUACCGCGUGGGUGAAGAAGGCCUUCGGGUUGUAAAGCCCUUUUGUUGGGAAAGAAAAGCAAUCGGUUAAUACCCGGUUGUUCUGACGGUACCCAAAGAAUAAGCACCGGCUAACUUCGUGCCAGCAGCCGCGGUAAUACGAAGGGUGCAAGCGUUACUCGGAAUUACUGGGCGUAAAGCGUGCGUAGGUGGU
rnacentral:rRNA from 1 species